rnacentral:rRNA from 1 species
UACGUAUGUCUCGAGCGUUACCCGGAAUUAUUGGGUGUAAAGGGUUCGUAGGUGGUUUGAUAAGUUGGAUAUGAAAGACCGGAGCUCAACUCCGAGUUUGUGUUCAAAACUGUUAAACUAGAAUCAGGGAGAGGUAAGCGGAAUUCUAAGUGUAGGGGUGCAAUCCGUAGAUACUUAGAGGAACACCAAAAGCGAAGGCAGCUUACUGGAACUGUAUUGACGCUGAGGAACGAAAGCGUGGGUAGCGAAAAGG